rnacentral:rRNA from 1 species
UCGGGAAUUUUGGGCAAUGGGCGAAAGCCUGACCCAGCAACGCCGCGUGAAGGAUGAAGUAUUUCGGUAUGUAGACUUCGAAAGAAUAGGAAGAAUAAAUGACGGUACUAUUUAUAAGGUCCGGCUAACUACGUGCCAGCAGCCGCGGUAAUACGUAGGGACCAAGCGUUGUUCGGAUUUACUGGGCGUAAAGGGCGCGUAGGCGGCAAUUCAAGUCAUCUGUGAAAUCUCCGGGCUUAACUCGGAACGGUCAGAUGAUACUGCUUUGCUAGAGUGCAGAAGGGGCAAUCGGAAUUCUUGGUGUAGCGGUGAAAUGCGUAGAUAUCAAGAGGAACACCUGAGGUGAAGACGGGUUGCUGGGCUGACACUGACGCUGAGGCGCGAAAGCCAGGGGAGCAAACGGGAUUAGAUACCCCAGUAGUCCCUGAGCGGGCUGGCAAGGCGCAU